CGAAGACAACUAGGAUGUUGGCUCAGAAGCAGCCAUACAUUCAAAGAGUGCGUAAUAGCUCACUAGUCGAGAGGUCCUGCGCCGAAAAUGUCCGGGGCUAAAACACGACACCGAAGCUGUGGAUCCGAAAGGAUGGUAGAGGAGCAUUCUUAAGUCGACGAAGCUGUACUGUAAGGAGCAGUGGAGAGUUAAGAAGAGAGAAUGCCGGAAUGAGUAGCGAGAUUUAAGUGAGAAUCUUAAAGGCCGAAUAUCUAAGGUUUCCAGGGUAAAGCUGAUCUUCCCUGGGUAAGUCGGGGCCUAAGGCGAGGGCGAGAGCCGUAGUCGAUGGAUAACAGGUUGAAAUUCCUGUACUGCUUAUGGACAGAACUGUGGGGACGCAGAAGGAGAGCACGAGCCGGAAAUGGAAAAGCCGGUACAAGCGUAUAGCAGUCAUGCAGGCAAAACCGCAUGAAAAAUGUAAAGCGUUAUGUGGAUCGAACAUUAGUAGAGAAGCGUGUGAGCCAGCUGCCAAGAAAAGCCGCUAUUGCUUCAUAAGUACCCGUACCGUAAACCGACACAGGUGGAUGAGGAGAGAAUCCUAAGGCCGGCGGGAGAAGUGUUGUUAAGGAACUCGGCAAAAUGACUCCGUAACUUCGGGAGAAGGAGUGCCACAGAGAUGUGGCCGCAGAGAAAUGGCCCAAGCAACUGUUUAGCAAAAACACAGGUCUAUGCAAAACCGAAAGGUGAGGUAUAUGGGCUGACGCCUGCCCGGUGCUGGAAGGUUAAGAGGAGAGGUUAGCGCAAGCGAAGCUUUGAAUUUAAGCCCCAGUAAACGGCGGCCGUAACUAUAACGGUCCUAAGGUAGCGAAAUUCCUUGUCGGGUAAGUUCCGACCCGCACGAAAGGCGUAAUGAUUUGGGCACUGUCUCAACAACACACCCGGUGAAAUUGAAAUACCAGUGAAGAUGCUGGUUACCUGCGCCAGGACGGAAAGACCCCAUGGAGCUUUACUCCAGUUUGAUACUGGGAUUCGGUACUGUCUGUACAGGAUAGGUGGGAGGCUAGGAAAUGGUGACGCCAGUUGCCAUGGAGCCAACCUUGGGAUACCACCCUUACAGUACUGGGUUUCUAACCUGCAGCCGUAACCCGGCUGGGGGACAAUGUCUGACGGGGAGUUUGACUGGGGCGGUCGCCUCCGAAAGAGUAUCGGAGGCGCUCAAAGGUUCCCUCAGAAUGGUUGGAAACCAUUCGAAGAGUGCAAAGGCAGAAGGGAGCUUGACUGCGACACCGACGGGUGGAGCAGGUACGAAAGUAGGACUUAGUGAUCCGGUGGUAUAAAGUGGGAUUGCCAUCGCUCAACGGAUAAAAGCUACCCUGGGGAUAACAGGCUUAUCACUCCCAAGAGUUCACAUCGACGGAGUGGUUUGGCACCUCGAUGUCGGCUCAUCGCAUCCUGGAGCUGUAGCAGGUUCCAAGGGUUGGGCUGUUCGCCCAUUAAAGCGGUACGCGAGCUGGGUUCAGAACGUCGUGAGACAGUUCGGUCCCUAUCCGGCGUGGGCGUAGGAUAUUUGAGAGGAGCUGUCCUUAGUACGAGAGGACCGGGAUGGACGGACCACUGGUGUAUCUGUUGGCUAUCAGAGCCAUGGCAGAGUAGCCAAGUCCGGCAGGGAUAAACGCUGAAGGCAUCUAAGCGUGAAGCCCCCCUCAAGAUAAGAUAUCCCAUCUUCGGAGUAAGACCCCUUGAAGACUACAAGGUUGAUAGGCUUCAGGUGUAAGUGCGGUAACGCACUCAGCUGAGAAGUACUAAUAGGUCGAGGACUUAUCCU
rnacentral:rRNA from 1 species